UCUACUAGUUGUCGGGUUUUAAUUAACUUGGUAACGCAGCUAACGCGUGAAGUAGACCGCCUGGGGAGUACGGUCGCAAGAUUAAAACUCAAAGGAAUUGACGGGGACCCGCACAAGCGGUGGAUGAUGUGGAUUAAUUCGAUGCAACGCGAAAAACCUUACCUACCCUUGACAUGUACGGAAGGCCGAAGAGAUUUGGCUGUGCUCGAAAGAGAACCGUAACACAGGUGCUGCAUGGCUGUCGUCAGCUCGUGUCGUGAGAUGUUGGGUUAAGUCCCGCAACGAGCGCAACCCUUGUCAUUAGUUGCUACGAAAGGGCACUCUAAUGAGACUGCCGGUGACAAACCGGAGGAAGGUGGGGAUGACGUCAAGUCCUCAUGGCCCUUAUGGGUAGGGCUUCACACGUCAUACAAUGGUACAUACAGAGGGCCGCAAACCCGCGAGGGGGAGCUAAUCCCAGAAAGUGUAUCGUAGUCCGGAUUGUAGUCUGCAACUCGACUACAUGAAGUUGGAAUCGCUAGUAAUCGCGGAUCAGCAUGUCGCGGUGAAUACGUUCCCGGGUCUUGUACACACCGCCCGUCACACCAUGGGAGCGGGUUUUACCAGAAGUAGGUAGCUUAACCGCAAGGAGGGCGCUUACCACGGUAGGA
rnacentral:rRNA from 1 species